rnacentral:rRNA from 1 species
ACGAACGCUGGCGGCGUGCCUAAUCCAUGCCAGUAGAACGCUGAAGGCGGAGCUUGCUCUUCUGGAUGAGUUGCGAACGGGUGAGUAACGCGUAGGUAACCUGCCUGGUAGCGGGGGAUAACUAUAGGAAACGAUAGCUAAUACCGCAUAACAGUAGAUGUUGCAUGACAUUUACUUAAAAGGUGCAAUUGCAUCACUACCAGAUGGACCUGCGUUGUAUUAGCUAGUUGGUGGGGUAACGGCUCACCAAGGCGACGAUACAUAGCCGACCUGAGAGGGUGAUCGGCCACACUGAGACUGAGACACGGCCCAGACUCCUACGGGAGGCAGCAGUAGGGAAUCUUCGGCAAUGGACGGAAGUCUGACCGAGCAACGCCGCGUGAGUGAAGAAGGUUUUCGGAUCGUAAAGCUCUGUUGUAAGAGAAGAACGAGUGUGAGAGUGGAAAGUUCACACUGUGACGGUAUCUGACCAGAAAGGGACGGCUAACUACGUG